rnacentral:rRNA from 1 species
UACGAAGGGGGGCUAGCGUUGCUCGGAAUCACUGGGCGUAAAGGGUGCGUAGGCGGGUCUUUAAGUCAGGGGUGAAAUCCUGGAGCUCAACUCCAGAACUGCCUUUGAUACUGAGGAUCUUGAGUUCGGGAGAGGUGAGUGGAACUGCGAGUGUAGAGGUGAAAUUCGUAGAUAUUCGCAAGAACACCAGUGGCGAAGGCGGCUCACUGGCCCGAUACUGACGCUGAGGCACGAAAGCGUUGGGGAGCAAACAGG